GACGAACGCUGGCGGCGUGCUUAACACAUGCAAGUCGAGCGGUAAGGCCCUUUCGGGGGUACACGAGCGGCGAACGGGUGAGUAACACGUGGGUGACCUGCCCUCAGCUCUGGGAUAGGCCUGGGAAAACUGGGUCUAAUAACCGGAUAUGACUCCAUGACGCAUGUUGUGGGGUGGAAAGCCUUGUGCGGCUGAGGAUGGGCCCGCGGCCUAUCAGCUUGUUGGUGGGGUGA
rnacentral:rRNA from 1 species